GAGGAAUGUAUAGCAAUAGCUACUUGCAUCAUUGUAAAUAUGAUGCAAGAUCGACUAUGUCGAAUAAAAUUCUAGGUAGAAUUAUGAUAAUGACAUUGUCUGCCUAUGUGUCUUGACCAAAUUACGUGCCAGCAGUCGCGGUAAUACGUAGAAGACUAGUGUUAUUCAUGUUUAAUCGGUUUAAAGGGUACCUAGACGGUAAAUCAAGCCUAAAAGGAAAGAAAUGAAGGGACUAAUUUACUAGAGUUACUUAUGAGGGGGUAUUAAAGUACUGCUGGUGUAGAGAUGAAAUUCUGUCAUACCUCUUUUCAAUAGAAAAAUAAUGGCACAGGUAUAGGCGAAAGCAUCCCCUUAUGUGAUAACUGACGUUGAGGGACGAAGGCUUUGUGUAGCGAACAGGAUUAGAUACCCCAGUAGUCAAAGCAGAAAAUGAUGAAUGUCAUAGAUUAGAUAUAUAAGUUUAUUCUAUAAAUGAAAGUGUAAGCAUUCCACCUCAAGAGUAAUUUGGCAACAUUGGAACUGAAAUCAUUAGACCGUUUCUGAAACCAG
rnacentral:rRNA from 1 species